UUGGAAAUACUGCUGCUAACAGUAGGUUUUCAGGGGAACAUAGUCAUAGAUGCUACUGGCUGACUCAAAGGCUUAGGGAAAUGAAAAACUAAAUAUGGUGUCUUCUCCGUAGGCCAAAUUAUGAUCUGUUACAUGAGUGUAAAUUCAGAAUAACUAUAUCCAGAGUUAACUUAAUGAAGUUAGUCUGGAUUUAUACCAUUGGCAAUGAGAUCAAAAUCUGGCCCUAAGGUUAAACUUUUUGGAGUUUGCGGAAUAAUGAUUUCCUCAUGCAGGUUUACUGAUUCUUGCAAUAGUCACAAAUAGAGCUUAUUGAAAAAUUUAAACUGAUCCCUUUUCGGCCAAAAAAAUGCAGACUCACCAACAUCUUGGGAAUUUGUGUGUCAAUUUCACUGAAUUGUUUUGGUCAAAAAAAAAACAAAACAAACCUAAAAAAGUUAAGAAAGGAAACACAUUCUGGCAUUGAUUAAAAACAGGUUUUUUAUUUGAAUUUCCUUUAAUUUUGUUAAAUGUAAUGUUAAAAAUGCUCAACAUUGAAAUAAAGCAUUGUUUGCCCAAAGUAUGUAUGUUUUUUUUUUUCCCCCUCCUUAUGAAGUGGAUUAAAUUUCUUACCCAAAGUUAUUUGCGUACAAAGCUUAAAAUAUUUAGCAUUAGCGAUUCUGGUAUAAGCAUUGCACCUCUGUUAGUAAAUACACUUUGGCCAUUUUGCAGGUGACAAAUCUCAUUUGAGAAUUGUCCACCUCUUUCAAAUUGUGGGAGAUUUUGCAUUGCUCGGAUUGCUGUAUAUCCUCAAAUGUAUGGAUAAAGUAAGCUAGGCGCAUUAAAUAGUGCUUUAAUCUAAAAAAUAGUUCCAUUAACUUCAGUGUAAUUCUGUCAGAAUCUGACCUUUAGUGAAUUCUGCCAUGAAUACAAAAAGCUAACAAGCUCAGAAAUGUAUUAGCAAACGUGCUCAGAAUUUGUAUUCUUAUAGCUUUUCAUUUGAUUGUAUGCAUUCUUUAUCCAGAGGCAUCUACUGCUGCUAGGAAGUUAUUUUACUGGGCCAAAAGACUUUUUUGGCUGUUCAGAAAAGGACAAUUCAAUAUUUCCCUCUUGGAUACUGAAUAGGUCAUAUGAGUCCAGAUAGUAUUUUACAUGUUCAGAGAUGUUUCUGUCCUGUCACUUUAUACUAGGAAGUGGUUUCUUGCUCCAUAGUUGUGCCAUUGGCUGGUUCCUUGCGAGAAAAAUGAGUUUCAAGUCCUAGUCCCUAGGAAGAUACAAGGAGUAAUUCCUUAAAGUUUGCAUUCAUCUUAAAGCACAGAUGACUGGCAGCCAGGAAUCCUGGAAUCUCUUGACAACUCUGCUAUUGAAUUGCUCUGUUACCCCAGUAAGUUUCCAGCCCCUGUGGUUGCACAGAAAAGCUUGAAAACAAUGACUUUGAGUAGCAAAUAACCAGAAAAACAGUUUAUUUUCAAAAACCAUCAUGAUGUUUGGG